rnacentral:rRNA from 1 species
CAGUCGCCACGGGAAUACGAAUGGGGCUAGCGUUGCUCGGAAUGACUGGGCGUAAAGGGCGCGUAGGCGGUUUAUACAGUCAGAUGUGAAAUUCCUGGGCUCAACCUGGGGACUGCAUUUGAUACGUAUGGACUUGAGUGGAGAAGAGGGUCGUGGAAUUUCCAGUGUAGAGGUGAAAUUCGUAGAUAUUGGGAAGAACACCAGUGGCGAAGGCGGCUCACUGGACCGACACUGACGCUGAGGCGCGAAAGCGUGGGGAGCAAACAGGAUUAGAUACCCGCGUAGUCCCUGUCUCUUAUAU